CCGGGUUGAUCCUGCCAGUAGACAUAUGCUUGUCUCAAAGAUCAGGCCCUGCAUGUCUACGUUCAGGCCUUAAUACGGUGAGACCGCGAAUGGCUCAUUAAAUCAGCUAUGGUUUAUUGGAUCGUGCCUGUUAGAUGGAUAACUGUAAUAACUCUAGAGCUAAUACAUGCCUCGAUGCCCUGACCCUGCCUGGCUUGCCUUGCUUGCAUGUGGUAGGCUAUGGGUGCACUUAUUAGAUCGGAAGCCAACCAAUUGUGCGUGCGCGGCCGGCUGCAAGGUCGUCGUUGCGUGCGUUGAGACACUCGCUUCUGGUGACUCUGGCUAAUUGCUACAGAUCGCAGUCGGCAUUGAGUCGGCGACAGGUCCUUCAAAUGUCUGCCCUAUCAACUUUCGAUGGUGGGUGACCUGCCUACCAUGGUGGCAACGGGUAACGGGUAACGGGAAAUCAGGGUUCGAUUCAAGAGAGGGAGCUUGAGAAACGGCUACCACUUCCAAGGCAGCAGACGCGCAAAUUACCCACUCUCAGCACGGGGAGGUAGUGACGAAAAAUACCGAUGCGGAACUUCUUCAAGGGGCUCCGUAAUCGGAAUGAGUGGACUCUAAACCCCUUCACGAGGAUCAAUUGGAGGUCAAGUCUGGUGCCAGCAGCCGCGGUAACUCCAGAUCCAAUAGCGUAUAUUAAAGUUGCUGCAGUUAAAAAGCUCGUUGUUGGAUCUCGGUAGCAUUGCUGCUUGUUGGUAAUUGAGCGACCGGUGUGUGGUUAUCGGUGCGCAGUUUCCUCUGCGCCUGCGUGUUGGUGGGCCGGUGGGUAUUUCGGAUGGUGAGUUGGGCAGUUGGUGCUAACUUGUCGUCCGGUCUGCUUGCUAGAUCGCUCAUUCACUUGCAGCGACGUUUGGAGGCUCUGUGUGGUCGUGGCCAUGAGCAAGCACUUCUGCCUGCUAAUUAGUACGUUCGUCCACUGCACCUGCAUGGGUGACGUUGGAUGAUACCGCCUAUCACUUCUUCCUGAGAGUGAGGGUGCAAGAUGACGCUCGUGGUUGGUUAGUCUGGCGUUGGCCUGCGGAUGCGGCGCAAAUGCUUACUUCUUAGAGAGAC
rnacentral:rRNA from 1 species